rnacentral:rRNA from 1 species
UACGGAGGGAGCUAGCGUUGUUCGGAAUUACUGGGCGUAAAGCGCACGUAGGCGGCUUUGUAAGUUAGAGGUGAAAGCCCGGGGCUCAACUCCGGAACUGCCUUUAAGACUGCAUCGCUUGAAUCCAGGAGAGGUGAGUGGAAUUCCGAGUGUAGAGGUGAAAUUCGUAGAUAUUCGGAAGAACACCAGUGGCGAAGGCGGCUCACUGGACUGGUAUUGACGCUGAGGCGCGAAAGCUAGGGGAGCGAACGGG